GAUGAACGCUAGCUACAGGCUUAACACAUGCAAGUCGAGGGGAAACGACAUCGAAAGCUUGCUUUUGAUGGGCGUCGACCGGCGCACGGGUGAGUAACGCGUAUCCAACCUGCCCACCACUUGGGGAUAACCUUGCGAAAGUAAGACUAAUACCCAAUGAUAUCCCACGAAGGCAUCCGAAUGGGAUUAAAGAUUUAUCGGUGAUGGAUGGGGAUGCGUCUGAUUAGCUUGUUGGCGGGGUAACGGCCCACCAAGGCUACGAUCAGUAGGGGUUCUGAGAGGAAGGUCCCCCACAUUGGAACUGAGACACGGUCCAAACUCCUACGGGAGGCAGCAGUGAGGAAUAUUGGUCAAUGGACGGAAGUCUGAACCAGCCAAGUAGCGUGCAGGAUGACGGCCCUAUGGGUUGUAAACUGCUUUUAUGUGGGAAUAAAGUCAGGGACGUGUCCCUGUUUGCAUGUACCACAGGAAUAAGGACCGGCUAAUUCCGUG
rnacentral:rRNA from 1 species